rnacentral:rRNA from 1 species
UACGGAGGGGGCUAGCGUUAUUCGGAAUUAUUGGGCGUAAAGGGCGCGUAGGUGGCGCGGUCAGUUCGUGGUGAAAGCGCGGGGCUCAACCCCGGGUCGGCCGUGGCAACUGCUGGGCUGGAGCACUGUAGAGGCAGGUGGAAUUCCGGGUGUAGCGGUGGAAUGCGUAGAGAUCCGGAAGAACACCGGUGGCGAAGGCGGCCUGCUGGGCAGUAGCUGACGCUGAUGCGCGACAGCGUGGGGAGCAAACAGG